CGGGGGACUAACAUAUCAAUAAGCGGAGGAAAAGAAACUAACAAGGAUUCCCCUAGUAACUGCGAGUGAAGCGGGAAAAGCUCAAAUUUAAAAUCUGGUGGUCUUUGGCCAUCCGAGUUGUAAUUUAGAGAAGCGUCUUCCGCGCUGGACCAUGCACAAGUCUCCUGGAAUGGAGCGUCAUAGAGGGUGAGAAUCCCGUCUUUGGCAUGGACCCCCAGGGCUUCUGUGAUGCGCUCUCAAAGAGUCGAGUUGUUUGGGAAUGCAGCUCAAAAUGGGUGGUGAACUCCAUCUAAAGCUAAAUAUUGGCGAGAGACCGAUAGCGAACAAGUACCGUGAGGGAAAGAUGAAAAGCACUUUGGAAAGAGAGUGAAACAGUACGUGAAAUUGUUGAAAGGGAAACGCUUGAAGUCAGUCGCGUUGACCGAGACUCAGCCUUGCCUUGGCUUGGUGUACUUCUCGGCUGACGGGUCAGCAUCAAUUUUGGUCCUUGGAUAAUGGCAAGGGAAAGGUAGCACCUUUACAGGUGUGUUAUAGUCCUCUGUCGCAUGCAAGGGUUGGGAUUGAGGAACUCAGCAUGCACCUCAUCGGUGUCGGGGCCUCGGCCUACGUUACGUGCUUAGGAUGCUGGCAUAAUGGCUUUAAACGACCCGUCUUGAAACACGGACCAAGGAGUCUAACAUGCACGCGAGUGUUCGGGUGGAAAACCCGUGCGCGUAAUGAAAGUAAAAGUUGGGACCUCUGUCGUAGAGGGCACCGACGCCCGGACCAGACCUUCUGUGACGGCUCUGCGGUAGAGCGUGUAUGUUGGGACCCGAAAGAUGGUGAACUAUGCCUGAAUAGGGUGAAGCCAGAGGAAACUCUGGUGGAGGCUCGUAGCGAUUCUGACGUGCAAAUCGAUCGUCAAAUUUGGGUAUAGGGGCGAAAGACUAAUCGAACCAUCUAGUAGCUGGUUCCUGCCGAAUUCCCCCUUCA
rnacentral:rRNA from 1 species